AAAAUCAACAAAACAUGCCUUACUAGCCAAGAGAUAAAGCCUAAAUUUGGUAUACGUCCAUUUCAUCAUUGGGACAUUUUGUCUAAGAUAUUUUGAGAUUUUGGGCCACGUCUUUAAUGCAUAUAUUAUUAAUUAUUCAGUCUCGCUAAAUGAGUGGCAGUUGGGGAAUGCUAUCCUUUCUCACGAGUCACGAGCUGCGCGUAGCCAGAGUCUCUCAGAGAAAUGGAUUUCCUGAGUUAUAUGCUUUUGCUCAUCUUCGUCAUCUGCAUCUUCGUUCAAUUUCUGCGUUUGCCGAAUGGAAGAAGCAACAGAAGAAACCGCAAGCUUCCUCCAGGUCCUACUCCUUUUCCCAUAAUCGGAAACCUCCUUGAAUUAGGGCACAAGCCCCACAAGAGUUUGGCCAAGCUAGCCAAUAUUUACGGCCCAAUCAUGAGCUUACAGCUCGGCCGGGUCACCACCAUAGUCGUUACUUCCGUCGACAUGGCCAAGGGGGUACUUCUAACCCAUGACCGGUUCUUGUCAAAUCGAACCGUUCCUGACGCCGUGACAGCUCUCAACCACCAUGAAUAUAGUUUGUCCUUUCUUCCCGUGUCCCCCCGUUGGCGAGCGUUAAGGAAGCUAUGCAACAAUCAGUUAUUCGGCAACAAGGCUCUAGAUGCGAGCCAAGAUCUCAGGCGUAGCAAGGUGCAACAACUCAUCAAGCAGGUCCAUCAAAGCAGUGAGGUCGGUGAGGCCGUGGACAUCGGAAAAGCGGCUUUCAAAACCUCAAUCAACUUGUUGUCUAAUAGUGUAUUCUCCGUAGAUUUGGUUGAGUCUGUAGAUAAAACUGGGGAGUUCAAGGAGACAGUGGUCAAUAUCUUGAAAGAGAUUGGAAGACCCAACGUAGCCGAUUAUUUUCCGAUACUCAAGAAGAUUGACCCACUGGGGGUCAGAAGUCGCACCACCAUUCACGUCCGCAAGAUGCUCGACGUCUUCCACCUCUUGGUUACUCAACGCUUGAAGCUCCGAGAAACAACAGGUUCACUCGCCAACAAUGACAUAUUGGACGCCCUGCUUUCUGAAGAGAACAGGCAGGAGAUGGAUGGAGAGAUGAUCCAACGCUUAUCACUGGACUUAUUUGUGGCUGGGAGUGAUACAACAUCAUCUACGCUGGAAUGGGGAAUGGCUGAGCUGCUCCGGAACCCAGAGGCAAUGUCGAAAGCAAAAGCAGAGCUGGAGGAAACCAUCGGGAAAGGAAAACCAGUGGAGGAGUCAGACGAAGCGAGACUGCCUUACUUGCAAGCAGUAGUGAAAGAGACGUUACGAUUGCAUCCUGCGGCUCCAUUUUUACUGCCCAGGAAAGCAGAGAUGGAUGUGGAACUGGGGGGAUACACAAUCCCAAAGGGUGCACAAGUUCUGGUAAAUGUUUGGGCCAUAGGAAGAGAUCAGAGCAUAUGGAAAAAUCCAGAAGAGUUUUCGCCGGAGAGGUUUUUGGGCUCAGAUAUCGACGUCAAAGGCCGGGAUUUUGAGCUGAUUCCGUUUGGUGCUGGCCGGAGGGUUUGUCCGGGCUACCCUCUGGCUCUGAGAAUGGUGUUCCUGGUGUUGGGUUCUCUGAUAAAUUGUUUUGACUGGAAGAUGGAAGGUGGGACAAAGCCGGAGGACAUGGACAUGGAUGAUAAAUUUGGAAUUACCUUGGAGAAGGCUCAGCCGGUGCUCGUGGUUCCGUAUAGAGCCAACAAGCGCCGUCACUGAUCGAAAAGACAUCCGGAUUGGCCUGCCAUAUUGGGAGAUAGAUAUAUGGAUGUGUUAUUGGCCACAAAAAAAGGAAGUGUUUAUAAACCAUCUUUGGAGAUAUAUUCUAAGGGAACCAAUGAAUAUGUCGUUCGGGAAUGGAUUGGAUAAUGCAGUACAAUUUUACAGCGCGAGCGGAUGGCACCAACCAGUCAAAGAUCGAUGGAGAGAGUUCGUGUAGUGAAACCAUAUGGAAUAGACUCUUCAUGUCAAUCCUUCAGAAAAGUUGGGGAGCAAGGUGUAUUAACUUUUUGCUAUCAAUGUUGGAAGCCAUGAGAAGGGAACAAAGCUGAAUCUCUCCACUUUCUUUGAUCUCAUUAUUAUCUUCACCGUUAGAUCAACUUUAAUAAUAUUAUUUAAAUAUUAAUUA